rnacentral:lncRNA from 1 species
CUUUGAGAUGAGGUAUCUUGAAGAAGCUGAUGGAGGUUUUAACUUUUGAGGGAGUUAGGGUUUGAGGAAGACUAGAUCGUUGAGGAAAGAAGCUCGGAGUCUGUCGAUCUAGAGGGAUUUAGAGCCUUAGAGGUCAAUCUUUCCCAUGCAGCAAGAUUUCAGGCUCUCACCGCUCGGAGUUGGUUGAUCAGUUGAUGGAAGCGGCAAAGGUGUGAAUGGGUAGGCUAGUAGUUUAGUCAAUAGAAGAAAACCUGGAAACCCUAAGGAACGGGGGUCGGUGGAUGGAAGAACUGAAGAACCUCAAAACCCUCAAAGACUAGAUGGAAUGUGGCGGAGAACCAGAGAAGAAGUUGCUAGAGAAGAGAAUAGAGAUGGACAGACUCAUGGAGUACCUAUAGUGAUCGGUGGAUGGAAGAACCGAAGAACCUCAAAACCCUCAAGGAUGAAAGAUCGGAUGGUAAGUGGAACAGGGGAAGAGAACCAGCGUCCAGGGAAGAAGUCUCUAGAGAAGAGAUCGAGAGAAUGGAGACGGACAACGACGGACUGAUGAAGAAUGGACAGUGGACUGGAGAAUGCAGUACGGCGCCUGAGUAGGACCACGUGGGCGGCCGAAGGCCAGAAGGCAGGAUUUAGGCAUUUAGCUUUAUAUAGUAACGGGUCGGGUCGGGUCCCGGAUCAAGAUUGGGUGGACCCGACCCGAAAAAUAGAUCGGGUCUAAAUUUAGGACCCGACCCGGCCCCGCGGGUCCUAAAAUUCGGGUCGGGUCGGGUCUAAAGCGGGUCGGGUCGGGUCGGGUCCCGGGUCGACCCGACCCAUUUGCAGCCUUAG